rnacentral:tRNA from 1 species
CAGGAAAUAGUUUAAUACAGAACAGUAGCUUUGGGAGUUACCGGUAUAAGUGUAAAUCUUAUUUUCCUGA